UACGUAGGUGACAAGCGUUGUCCGGAUUUACUGGGCGUAAAGAGCGCGCAGGCGGUCGAUCAAGUCGAGUGUGAAAGCCCCCGGCUCAACUGGGGAGGGUCAUUCGAUACUGAUCGACUCGAAGGCAGGAGAGGGUAGUGGAAUUCCCGGUGUAGUGGUGAAAUGCGUAGAUAUCGGGAGGAACACCAGUGGCGAAGGCGGCACUCUGGAUCUCUUCUGACGCUGAGGCACGGAAGCUAGGGUAGCAAACGGG
rnacentral:rRNA from 1 species